rnacentral:ncRNA from 1 species
AGGAGCCGGAUGAGGUGAAAGUCUCACGUCCGGUUCUGAAGACGAGUCGGGUAGGUUAGCUUAACUGGCGAAUGUUUAACUAGGAACCACUAGGUUUAACUUUUAGAUGAAAUAAGACAUUUGAAUGAUUUUGU